rnacentral:rRNA from 1 species
AAUCAACGCUGGCGGCGUGCCUAACACAUGCAAGUCGAACGAGAAAGUGGAGCAAUCCAUGAGUAAAGUGGCGCACGGGUGAGUAACACGUGACUAACCUACCCUUGAGUGGGGGAUAACCUCGGGAAACCGUGGCUAAUACCGCAUAAUACCUACGGGUCAAAGGAGCAAUUCGCUUAAGGAGGGGGUCGCGGCAGAUUAGUUAGUUGGCAGGGUAAUGGCCUACCAAGACAGUGAUCUGUAUCCGGCCUGAGAGGGCGCACGGACACACUGGAACUGAAACACGGUCCAGACUCCUACGGGAGGCAGCAGUGGGGAAUUUUGCGCAAUGGGGGAAACCCUGACGCAGCAACGCCGCGUGGAGGAUGAAGUCCCUUGGGACGUAAACUCCUUUCGACCGGGACGAUGAUGACGGUACCGGAAGAAGAAGCCCCGGCUAACUUCGUGCCAGCAGCCGCGGUAAUACGAGGGGGGCGAGCGUUGUUCGGAAUUAUUGGGCGUAAAGGGUGCGUAGGCGGUUCGGUAAGUUUUGUGUGAAAUCUUCGGGCUCAACUCGAAGUCUGCAUAAGAUACUGCCGGGCUUGAGUAUGGGAGAGGUGAGUGGAAUUUCCGGUGUAGCGGUGAAAUGCGUAGAUAUCGGAGGGAACACCCUGUGGCGAAAGCGGCUCACUGGACCAUAACUGACGCUGAGGCACGAAAGCUAGGGGAGCAAACAGGAUUAGAUACCCUGGUAGUCCUAGCCCUAAACGAUGAUCGCUUGGUGUGGCGGGUACCCAAUCCCGUCGUGCCGUAGCUAACGCGUUAAGCGAUCCGCCUGGGGAGUACGGUCGCAAGGCUGAAACUCAAAGGAAUUGACGGGGGCCCGCACAAGCGGUGGAGCAUGUGGUUUAAUUCGACGCAACGCGAAGAACCUUACCUGGGCUCGAAAUGUAGAGGAAUCCGGUGGAAACAUCGGCGCCUAGCAAUAGGCCUCUAUAUAGGUGCUGCAUGGCUGUCGUCAGCUCGUGUCGCGAGAUGUUGGGUUAAGUCCCGCAACGAGCGCAACCCUUAUUACCAGUUGCCAUCAUUUAGUUGGGCACUCUGGUGAGACUGCCUCGGAUAACGGGGAGGAAGGCGGGGAUGACGUCAAGUCCUCAUGGCCUUUAUGUCCAGGGCUACACACGUGCUACAAUGGCCGGUACAAACCGUCGCAAACCCGCGAGGGGGAGCUAAUCGGAAAAAGCCGGCCUCAGUUCGGAUUACAGUCUGCAACUCGACUGUAUGAAGCUGGAAUCGCUAGUAAUCGCGGAUCAGAAUGCCGCGGUGAAUACGUUCCCGGGCCUUGUACUCACCGC